rnacentral:rRNA from 1 species
UACGAAGGGGGCUAGCGUUGUUCGGAAUCACUGGGCGUAAAGGGCGCGUAGGCGGCUUUGCAAGUCGGGGGUGAAAGCCUGUGGCUCAACCACAGAAUUGCCUUCGAUACUGCAUGGCUUGAGACCGGAAGAGGUAAGUGGAACUGCGAGUGUAGAGGUGAAAUUCGUAGAUAUUCGCAAGAACACCAGUGGCGAAGGCGGCUUACUGGUCCGGUUCUGACGCUGAGGCGCGAAAGCGUGGGGAGCAAACAGG